GUUAUAUGGUCAAGCGAUUAAGCGCAUACGGUGGAUGCCUUGGCGGCAAGAGGCGAUGAAGGACGUGGUAGCCUGCGAUUCGGGGAGCCGGCAAACAGGCUUUGAUCCGGGGAUGUCCGAAUGGGGAAACCUGCCCGCAAGGGUAUCUGUGCCUGAAUCCAUAGGGUACAGAGGCGAACCCGGGGAACUGAAACAUCUAAGUACCCGGAGGAAAAGAAAUCAACCGAGAUUCNNUCCGGCCAUAGACGGUGAUAGCCCGGUAAGCGAAAUGUGUGACCGGUGGGUGACGAUGAGUAAGACGGGACACGUGUUAUCUUGUCUGAAGAUGGGGGGACCAUCCUCCAAGGCUAAAUA
rnacentral:rRNA from 2 species